AUGAAAUUAUAAUCCGGCGAGGGGAAAGGCGGAGGGUUGUAGCUGGCCUCUAGGGGCAUGUGCACGCUCUCUUCCGGACCUUUCGCCGUAUGGGCGCGGGGCGACCCGCGUCUUCAUAUACCUCUUCGUGUAGAAAGUCUUUGAAUGUUUUACCAUCAUCGAGUCGCGACUUCUAGGAGACGCGAUUCUUUGAGAAAAAAGUUAUUA
rnacentral:misc_RNA from 1 species